UAAGUAUAUUUUUAUAACUCUUUUGUAAUGUCUUCGUUAUCAGAGCCCUUCAAAUUAGAAUAGUUAUGAUGAUCUUGUCAAUGCUGAGAUUUUCAUGCAUCAACAGCCACUACAUCUGGAUCAGAUUGAACAAGAAACAGACAGCAAGGGUUGUCAGGUCAGAAACAGAAUGACACACAAACAAAAGAAACUUUACAGGCAUAUCAACAUGCAAUUUGAAGACGUGUGAUAAAAUACAGAGAGGUGAAGUAGUGUGUCUUUCCAGAUCCCCAAAUCAUUCCCCCUUAAAAGAUGAGCCUGAAGAGGAGAUUUGGGAAGAUGCUGUUUCAUAAGUCGCUUUGCCUGAUCACAUGUGGUCGGGAUGUCUGCUAACAAGAUGCCUUGCUGGUCUGGGCGAGUAUAAAGGCUUACACAGACAGUCCAGAGGUUCUGAAGUCCAUCUUCGAUCUCAUUGGACGAUUUAAGGUUUAGAAACAUCUCAGCAACCUCAAGAGAAAUUGGAGGCAACUGUGCUAAAUUGCAGAUGAUGUUGCAAAGGGUCUGAAUAUGUAUAAUAUGCUGUCAUCGUAUUAAGUACAGCAUGAGCCAGAAUGGAUGGGUGGUGGUGGCCAUAAGAAGACUGUCAACUAAACCAACAACAAAAUUCAUAUUUGCAGUUUUUCUUGAAUAAAGUUUUUCUAUUCAGAUGAAUAAAAUGACUUUUAAACAUGAUUUUGUUUCAUAUUUUAUGAUUUUAUUCUAUAUUUAGAAAAUUCCACUUCUGCACUACUAACUG